AGACCCGAAACCCGGUGAUCUAGCCAUGGGCAGGUUGAAGGUUGGGUAACACUAACUGGAGGACCGAACCGACUAAUGUUGAAAAAUUAGCGGAUGACCUGUGGCUGGGGGUGAAAGGCCAAUCAAACCGGGAGAUAGCUGGUUCUCCCCGAAAGCUAUUUAGGUAGCGCCUCGUGAAUUCAUCUCCGGGGGUAGAGCACUGUUUCGGCUAGGGGGCCAUCCCGGCUUACCAACCCGAUGCAAACUGCGAAUACCGGAGAAUGUUAUCACGGGAGACACACGGCGGGUGCUAACGUCCGUCGUGAAGAGGGAAACAACCCAGACCGCCAGCUAAGGUCCCAAAGUCAUGGUUAAGUGGGAAACGAUGUGGGAAGGCCCAGACAGCCAGGAUGUUGGCUUAGAAGCAGCCAUCAUUUAAAGAAAGCGUAAUAGCUCACUGGUCGAGUCGGCCUGCGCGGAAGAUGUAACGGGGCUAAACCAUGCACCGAAGCUGCGGCAGCGACGCUGAUGCGUUGUUGGGUAGGGGAGCGUUCUGUAAGCCUGUGAAGGUGGCCUGUGAGGGUUGCUGGAGGUAUCAGAAGUGCGAAUGCUGACAUAAGUAACGAUAAAGCGGGUGAAAAGCCCGCUCGCCGGAAGACCAAGGGUUCCUGUCCAACGUUAAUCGGGGCAGGGUGAGUCGACCCCUAAGGCGAGGCCGAAAGGCGUAGUCGAUGGGAAACGGGUUAAUAUUCCCGUACUUGGUGUUACUGCGAAGGGGGGACGGAGAAGGCUAUGUUGGCCGGGCGACGGUUGUCCCGGUUUAAGCGUGUAGGUGUGUGUUCCAGGUAAAUCCGGUUCACUUUAACACUGAGGCGUGAUGACGAGGCACUACGGUGCUGAAGCAACAAAUGCCCUGCUUCCAGGAAAAGCCUCUAAGCAUCAGGUAACAUCAAAUCGUACCCCAAACCGACACAGGUGGUCAGGUAGAGAAUACCAAGGCGCUUGAGAGAACUCGGGUGAAGGAACUAGGCAAAAUGGUGCCGUAACUUCGGGAGAAGGCACGCUGACAUGUAGGUGAAGUGAUUUACUCAUGGAGCUGAAGUCAGUCGAAGAUACCAGCUGGCUGCAACUGUUUAUUAAAAACACAGCACUGUGCAAACACGAAAGUGGACGUAUACGGUGUGACGCCUGCCCGGUGCCGGAAGGUUAAUUGAUGGGGUCAGCGCAAGCGAAGCUCCUGAUCGAAGCCCCGGUAAACGGCGGCCGUAACUAUAACGGUCCUAAGGUAGCGAAAUUCCUUGUCGGGUAAGUUCCGACCUGCACGAAUGGCGUAAUGAUGGCCAGGCUGUCUCCACCCGAGACUCAGUGAAAUUGAACUCGCUGUGAAGAUGCAGUGUACCCGCGGCAAGACGGAAAGACCCCGUGAACCUUUACUAUAGCUUGACACUGAACAUUGAGCCUUGAUGUGUAGGAUAGGUGGGAGGCUUUGAAGUGUGGACGCCAGUCUGCAUGGAGCCGGCCUUGAAAUACCACCCUUUAAUGUUUGAUGUUCUAACGUGGACCCGUGAUCCGGGUUGCGGACAGUGUCUGGUGGGUAGUUUGACUGGGGCGGUCUCCUCCUAAAGAGUAACGGAGGAGCACGAAGGUUGGCUAAUCCUGGUCGGACAUCAGGAGGUUAGUGCAAUGGCAUAAGCCAGCUUGACUGCGAGCGUGACGGCGCGAGCAGGUGCGAAAGCAGGUCAUAGUGAUCCGGUGGUUCUGAAUGGAAGGGCCAUCGCUCAACGGAUAAAAGGUACUCCGGGGAUAACAGGCUGAUACCGCCCAAGAGUUCAUAUCGACGGCGGUGUUUGGCACCUCGAUGUCGGCUCAUCACAUCCUGGGGCUGAAGUAGGUCCCAAGGGUAUGGCUGUUCGCCAUUUAAAGUGGUACGCGAGCUGGGUUUAGAACGUCGUGAGACAGUUCGGUCCCUAUCUGCCGUGGGCGCUGGAGAACUGAGGGGGGCUGCUCCUAGUACGAGAGGACCGGAGUGGACGCAUCACUGGUGUUCGGGUUGUCAUGCCAAUGGCACUGCCCGGUAGCUAAAUGCGGAAGAGAUAAGUGCUGAAAGCAUCUAAGCACGAAACUUGCCCCGA
rnacentral:rRNA from 2 species